GCUACUGCCUGUUGAUUCUGACCUAGUACUUUUCUAUAUUGGGGAGGGCCAUCUGGAAUAUUCUGCACUAGACACACGGCUUCCAGACCUUCCUCAAGGCCAGAGGGCCCAUGUAUUCAGUCUCCUUUCCUAGACUGAGGCCAAAGGGACCCACCUGCCUGUCUGUUCCUUCCUCAGUUCUGUCUGUGCUCUAGAGUUGGCUGGUUUUGAUGGUUCCCUGCCCCCCACCCCAGACUUUUGCAGCAGGAGAAUGAAGAACUUCGCAGACGCCUGGCCUCAGCCACCAGACGCACUGAGGCCUUGGAGCGGGAACUGGAAAUCGGGCAAGACUGCCUGGAACUGGAGUUAGGACAGAGCCGGGAAGAGCUGGACAAGUUCAAGGACAAAUUCCGCAGGCUGCAGAACAGCUACACAGCAUCCCAGCGGACCAACCAGGAGCUCGAGGACAAGCUGCACGCACUGAUCAAGAAGGCUGAGAUGGACAGAAAGACGCUGGACUGGGAGAUUGUGGAGCUGACCAACAAGCUGCUGGACGCCAGGAACACCAUCAACAAGCUGGAGGAACUCAAUGUAUCGGUACCGGUUGGAUUGCAACCUGGCUGUGCAGCUUCUCAAGUGCAAUAAGUCCCACUUCCGGAACCACAAGUUUGCUGAUCUACCCUGUGAGCUACAGGACAUGGUUCGGAAACAUCUGCGCAGUGGUCAGGAGGUUGCCAGUCCCAGCCGCAGCCCUUCUUCCAGCCUGGCCCCAGGAGCUGUGGUGCCUACCUCAGUCAUUGCCCGGGUGUUGGAGAAACCCGAGUCCCUUCUGCUCAAUUCAGACCAGUCGGGCAGUGCUGGGCGCCCCUUGGCUGAGGAUGUAUUCGUGCAUGUGGACAUGAGCGGGGGUGACCCAGCCAGCCCCCCUGCCCCGGGCAGUCCCUCUCCACAACUCAAUGGGGAGUGCUGCUCUGUGAGUAUUGCAGGGGACUCCCCAGAGGAGGAGCUGCCCUUGCCAGCCUUUGACAAGUUGAGUCCCUACCCUACCC
rnacentral:lncRNA from 1 species